CUGGCCCCUCUGGCUGGGAAGAUGGGUGGACCGCUCAGCCUCGAGGACCCCCUAAACCGGGCCCUUGGGCAGUGGGCUCUGGACCUUCCUGGGUCCCUAAGUCCGGGAAGGCAGGGUUUGCUCCUGGGUCCCCAGGGCUGUGCGAACACGGGGCAGCUGUUCUUUGGGGACGGUUCCAAGCUGACUGUGCUCGAGAACCUGAACCAGGUGACCCUACCCAAGGUGGCUGUGUUUGAACCUUCGGAAGCAGAGAUCUCCCGCACCGAGAAGGCCACGCUCGUGUGCCUGGCCACAGGCUUCUACCCCGACCACGUGGAGCUGAGCUGGUGGGUGAAUGGGAAGGAAGUCCAGACUGGGGUCAGCACGGACCCUCAGCCCUACAGGGAGCAGUCAGAUGAUGAAAACCCCAGCUACUGUCUGAGCAGCCGGCUGAGGGUCUCUGCUGCCUUCUGGCACAACCCCCGCAACCACUUCCGCUGCCAAGUCCAGUUCUUCGGCCUCGCGGAGAACGAUGAGUGGAAAGAGAACCGGACCAAACCUGUCAGGCAGAACAUCAGUGCUGAGGCCUGGGGCAGAGCAGACUGUGGCCUCAGCUCAGUGUCCUAUCAGCGAGGGGUCCUGUCUGCCACCAUCCUCUAUGAGAUUCUUCUGGGGAAGGCCACCCUGUAUGCUGUACUGGUCAGCGCCCUCGUGCUGAUGGCCAUGGUCAAGAAAAAGGAUUCCUGAGACCAGCUCCAAAAGUGUAUCCUGGGUUGUUCUUAAUCCUUACCCUAGAGUGUCAUUUACGUGCUUCCAAUCUGUGUUCCUAAAGAGUUAUUCUCUGUCUACCUUUUAUCUCCUUUCUGCAUGUCUGUCCCUUCUCUCUGCUUCCCUGAAUCUGAAAUAGACUAAGGUAAUAAAAGUGUCAUGCUGGAUCUGG